AAGGGGUGGUGGUGGAGUGGUGGGUUGUUUUUUUUUGAAAAUACUUGCGGCAAUAGAAAUUCUGCUUGAGAAAGCAAUAUGGAAAUAUGCUGGUGACUGCUUUAAAUGCAGCUCACGUAUGACGUAGUCUGCCUGCCAGUGGAAAAACCCCACCAGCUCUCGAGAGAGCCCUGCUCUGAUCAGUCUGAGUAGAUUAUUCCUUCAGCUUUAAUAAUUCAAACUCCCUGUCUGCCUUACAGGGAGUUUUCCUCUCGCCUGGAAGACACAUGAUGCUGACUGGGGAGAUCCCCAGUCUGCUGCUCGUAUUUUUAAUGGAAAAUCCAUAUGGGAUCUAAAAGAUUUAUGUGGAUUUCCACUCUCCAGUUACUUGGGAUUUUUACUCAAGAGUGGUGCUCAGAGCUCCAGGUGACCAUGAGCCAGCGCGGUGGCUGAAAGCUGCGGCAACACAGCGCUACCGGGGGAGCCGCUCCAGAAAUGAGGACAGCUAUCUGCCUCCUCUUUGCAGAGACAACUUAUGAGGUCAAGUGGUACACCAGCUGAAGACUGUGCUGGCCAAAGAUUUCCGUUCACCCCACUUGCCUCUUCAUCUCACGCUGACCUGGAUAUUUUAAUCAGCUGUGGCAGCUCUGCACUUAUGGAAAUGUCAGUCUCUGUUGGAUGAAGGUCCCAGCUUCCCCUUGACAGCAGCCACCUUUCCAGUACAAAGCAAAUAAGUGGGUCUAGGGCCACCAUUGGAAUCCUAUUUGAACUGGUAGGUAAACCCUUCAUUUUUUGAACUGUGAGACUCUCUGCUACAAAUGACUUGU
rnacentral:lncRNA from 1 species